rnacentral:rRNA from 1 species
AGGGCGCUUUGGCGUUGGCAGCGGUCCAAGUUCCUUGGAACAGGACGUCACAGAGGGUGAGAAUCCCGUACGUGGUCGCUGGCCUUCGCCGUGUAAAGCCCCUUCGACGAGUCGAGUUGUUUGGGAAUGCAGCUCUAAAUGGGAGGUAAAUUUCUUCUAAAGCUAAAUACUGGCCAGAGACCGAUAGCGCACAAGUAGAGUGAUCGAAAGAUGAAAAGCACUUUGGAAAGAGAGUCAAAUAGCACGUGAAAUUGUUGAAAGGGAAGCGCUUGCAGCCAGACUUGCCUGUAGUUGCUCAUCCGGGCUUCUGCCCGGUGCACUCUUCUAUAGGCAGGCCAGCAUCAGUUUGGGCGGUUGGAUAAAGGUCUCUGUCAUGUACCUCUCUUCGGGGAGGCCUUAUAGGGGAGACGACAUGCAACCAGCCUGGACUGAGGUCCGCGCAUUUUGCUAGGAUGCUGGCGUAAUGGCUGUAAGCGGCCCGUCUUGAAACACGGACCAAGGAGUCUAACAUCUAUGCGAGUGUUUGGGUGUCAAGCCCGAACGCGUAAUGAAAGUGAACGGAGGUGGGAACCCUUUAGGGCGCACCAUCGACCGAUCCUGAUGUCUUCGGAAGGAUUUGAGUAAGAGCAUGGCUGUUGGGACCCGAAAGAUGGUGAACUAUGCUUGAAUAGGGUGAAGCCAGAGGAAACUCUGGUGGAGGCUCGCAGCGGUUCUGACGUGCAAAUCGAU